UACGUAGGGUGCAAGCGUUGUCCGGAAUUAUUGGGCGUAAAGAGCUCGUAGGCGGUUUGUUGCGUCGGCUGUGAAAUCCCGAGGCUCAACCUCGGGUCUGCAGUCGAUACGAGCAAACUAGAGUGUUGCAGGGGAGACUGGAAUUCCUGGUGUAGCGGUGAAAUGCGCAGAUAUCAGGAGGAACACCGGUGGCGAAGGCGGGUCUCUGGGCAGUAACUGACGCUGGAGGAG
rnacentral:rRNA from 1 species